UACGUAGGGGGCAAGCGUUGUCCGGAUUUAUUGGGCGUAAAGAGCGUGUAGGCGGCCUUACAGGUCAGCUGUGAAAACUCGAGGCUCAACCUCGAGACGUCGGUUGAAACCGUAUGGCUAGAGUCCGGAAGAGGAGAGUGGAAUUCCCGGUGUAGCGGUGAAAUGCGCAGAUAUCAGGAAGAACACCAAUGGCGAAGGCAGCUCUCUGGGACGGUACUGACGCUGAGACGCGAAAGCCGUGGGGAGCGAACAGG
rnacentral:rRNA from 1 species